UACGUAGGGGGGCAAGCGUUGUCCGGAAUCAUUGGGCGUAAAGAGCGUGUAGGCGGCCAGGUAGGUCUGCUGUGAAAACUCGAGGCUCAACCUCGAGACGUCGGCGGAAACCAUCUGGCUAGAGUCCGGAAGAGGAGAGUGGAAUUCCUGGUGUAGCGGUGAAAUGCGCAGAUAUCAGGAAGAACACCCGUGCGAGGCGGCUCUCUGGGACGGUACUGACGCUGAGACGCGAAACGUGGGGAGCAAACAGG
rnacentral:rRNA from 1 species